AUGUCAUGCCGAGAUAGCUACAACCAGCAACAAAAGAAGCUUGGACUGGUGGAUUUUUUUUGCUCCAAUCGAUGGGCGUGGUUUGGGGGAGACAGGGGGUGGCACCAUGUUUUGUUGCAUCCGGCAACCACAAAAGCUACCAUCGUUGAGCAGUUUUGCUACAAUGGCGACGGGGUGGCAGCACCGAUGAGGUCUUUUGCUCGAACUGGCACACAUGUUGGCUACUACCAGCAGGAGUUUUUGCUGCGAUCAGCAAACCGAGGCGCGAGCUUGUCAAUGGGGCGCUGCGACCGGCGCUGGUGCUUCCAGGCUGGUCACCUCGCUCGUUCACGGCAACUGUCAAACAGCGCCGCUGCUCCUUUCUUCAGAUGGCGCUAG
rnacentral:rRNA from 1 species